rnacentral:lncRNA from 1 species
GUGCGCAGUGCGGGCGGUGGAGGCGAGGCUGUGGGCGCGUGGGGUGCGUGCGGUACCUGAGGGCCCCGCCCCCGCUUCGCCGAUCUCACACGCUCGGAAAUGAGCUGGACCCCUUCCUGCAGAUGAGAAAGGCUCCUAGAGAUAUUUGACUGUCCACUGAUGUUCUGGAAAGCUUUAGCACGUGGGAGCUGCCAUGGCAGCUCAGAUCUGUCCCCAGAACAUUCCUGCUUCCUUCACUGUAUGGUUUUGUCAGCACGUAGCUGCUGAUAUAGUUUGUAAGUGAUCCUUCCCCUGCACCAGUUAUGACUGGCGUGGUUGCUCAUCUGCUGCUGCAGCCUGGCUUUUACACUUGGUAACUGAGAGGCUUUCUCACCCUCCUUUAAGGGUUUUGCAGAAACGAGGUGCAGAAAUUGAUUUCACAUGGGUGCCUUCUUUUUUUAAGUACCAUCUCAGCAUUUUGGGCUAUUGGGUGAUCAUGGGAAGGUUGAAGUUGGUUUACUUUAAGUUUUUUUUUUCUCUACGCAAAAGUUCUGAGAAAAGUAAAAGGGGAGUUUUUUUGUGUAUUGGAAGCUUUGAAGUAUGAUAAUUAUUUGUCUUGACCUGUGUUGAGUUCUCCAACAGCUACAAACCACCGCUGGCUUGUUUGGUAUCCGGAUUUUAACCGUACUUUGUGUCUUUGCAGGCUUUGUGUCUACACUGGUAGCUACGGCCAGUUUUACCCCUACGGGCCAGCUAUAACCCCUGUCAUCAUUAAUGGUUGUUAAAAUUGUGUACAUCUGCAAGUGAUACAUAGGGGGCCUUCAGCCCUCCAAGCGGAGGGUUGACAUGUAUUGUCAGAACUUGAUUUCAUUGGAGGUACAGGUAUAAGCUCUGCUUCAAUACAACACCCUCUCACCCCCAAAGCCUGCUGGCACAGGUAGCUGUAGUGAAAGGUGGUUGGUUUGGUGCUCUUACUAGACUGGUAAACUCUGCUAGACAUGGAGUCUGAUUCAUACCAUUUUAGCAGUAAAGCUUUGCCACUGGAAUAAAAAUGAUUUUUAAAAGAACAGUUCAGUAGUUGCAAGCUUCUUUUUACUACGUAUACUUCAUAUGGGUGCAAGGUUGGGUGAAAUUGCGAUAGAUUAAACUGAGCAGCUCAAUAAAAUUCCCUGCACAUUCUUGCAUCAAAUUUACUGUCUUGGUUUCAAGCAAUCUCACAGACUACUUGUAACCUUAUGCAAAUAUGGCAAGUAUGUAAUCAGAGAAGUCUGUGUCUAGUUCCUUCCUUGCCUACAGCACUAAUUUUGGGGGCUUUUAUGUUCCUGUGUCCUAGAUUCAUAAAGCAGUCCGGAUGUUCUGUCCUGCAGCUGUAUUGUGUACUGAGUGCACCCCAAAACGCUUCUGUAGUGCAACUAGAGGUGUAGACAGGUCACUAUGCUUGGCAUGAUUUGUAUGCCCGUUGUUCCUAAGUAAGGUUUGAAAUUAUUUUUAUGCUCAAGAAAUAAAAUCACUAAAAUAGUUUUGUUUUUUUUUUUUUGUGUAUCUUGAACAUAUUCCUAUUUGGAAGCUUAAGUAUCACUUUCUGGCCCUGUUAGCUUUGUAUGUGUAUAUUCACUGCAGAGCAUUAUCAUUACAGACAGCUUUAUAAUGACACUUAAUAUUACAAAUACUCUUCACAUAUUCUUUUUUCCUUUUAAAU